AACCGCACAAACCCUACCCCCAAUCCAUAGCCGCCACUCCCUCCCUCCUCCUCCUCCCUCCCUCGUCUGCCGCCGCCACUCCCUCCCUCCUCGUCGCCCUGCCUCCGCCCUAGGAGCUUCGCCGCCUCCCAUGCGCUCGUUCUCUCCCUCGUCUCCACUUCUCCGUGCUUCCGCCGCAGCCUCCGCUUCCCUCCUCACUCUCACCGGCUUCAUCUCCUCCACCUCCAUCUCCCUACCUCCGCACCUGGCUAGCACGGUCAGACCAUGCUAAGUGGACAAGAAGGCGCCAUCUCAAGAGGCAGGCCACACCUUCCAUGACGGUGCCCUGAUCUGCCGGAUCUUCCUCCUCAUCAGUCCAAAGCAGAGGAUUGGCGGAUCCGCCUCAUCUUUGGUGUCAUCGACCAGAGAAGGUGUUUUUUUCUUCUAGGCCGAUGGAUGGGGUAGGCGAAGAGGAGUGGCGGAUCUGCGUCCUCUUUGGCAUGCAGUUGUGCUCUCCAUUGUUGUGAGCUCGCCGCCUAUUGAGUUUGCUGUCGUUCUUGCACCGGUGCUGCUGCCGUGGAGGGCUUGGUUUAAUGUAUGUUCCUCUUUUUCCUCAUGUAUUUGUUGUUCACUUUCUUGCCUUUUAGUUUUUUUGUGUCUGUGUGUGUGUGCAGCUUGUCUACGGUGGGAUGGGGAUUCAGAGGAUAAAUUUUAUUGGCAGUAAGAAGUUAAGAGGACAAGCGUGAGACGUCACAUGCCAAGGGAGAUUUUAGUUUUUUCGUGUCUGUGUGUGCAGCUUGUCUACGGUGGGAUGGGGAUUCAGAGGAUAAAUUUUAUUGGCAGUAAGAGGUUAAGAGGUCGAGCGUGAGACGUCACAUGUCAAGGGGAUAUAGUAUUUAGUCUCUUCUAAUCUGUGAAGAGAGACUACUGGUUUAAAGGGAAUCCAUACUUUAACAAGGUUUUUUCCAAUUCAACAAAGUCAGCUAUGGAGCUUUUCGAGGCAGCAGGACAUGAUGCCGCACGGAGAUGGGGAUGGCCAUGCCCGCCCCGAUGCCGCCAGCCGAUGUCGGUGAGAGUAUCACCACCGACAACGGCUCCAACGAGCUCUCCAUGAGCUCCUGGGACGACACCAACUCCAACAUCAUGUUCUUCGCGCCUGGAAGCAAGAAGGCCAAGGUGCUCAUCAAUGGUGACAACGGCAUGGUCACCAACUUCAGCAAAAUCAAAUCCCAAUUUGGCCUGUCGAGCACGUCUUUGGACAUGCCCGGCAUGGACGGCUACUUGCAGCCGCAGCAGGACUUCGUCGCCUGCAUAGUCUUGAGACAAGCGUGUCUGCACCACUCACCCGUGAAGCAUCACUAAGAGGCAAAGAAGAACAAGGAUUAGCAAGAGGCUAAGGAGGCUGCAAGACCUUGUGCCCAACAUGGACAAGCUAUUCUCUGGGAGAAGUCGUGCAAUGCAAUUGCUGGAAACAUGUUAAGUUUCUUCUUGAAGACGCAGCAAACAAAUAGUUCAGACAUGCUGGAUAUUGUUGUAGACUACAUCAAAGGGCUGUAGGACUGAACUGAGGUAUGCUCCACGCAGACACAACGGUUAUAUAGCACACGUUUCUAGGAGGCCUUGUUAAGAAAUAUCAUUUUCUGUGCAUAUUAACAUGUUUCGUUAAUUUUUAGACAAGUACAAACUGACUAAUUAAUAACAACAUAUUUGUUUGCAAAUAGAAAAUGAUAAGAUGUAACGUUUAUUAUGUAAAAAUGAAUUUAUGUGCUUAUUGUCCACGGUUUGGCUUACUUGUUUGGUAUGCAAUGUGCUUGUGGUUCAUAACUGCCCACUGCACCAUUGGAUAAUAGCUAAUGUAAUAAGGAAUUUUACUUUGAUUCAGGGUCUGGUAGAUAUGUCAUAUAUGUGAUCUUGGAAUUUUGAUAGGCGUUUGUUGACAAACAUGCAAGAUCUAUUUUCUGUGUUUCCAACCUGCAUGUUUUUUUGGCUACAAUGGCUUGAUCAGAGAUGUGAGGACUAUAUCAAUUGUUUCCCGUGGUAUUUGCCAUAUUUUUGUUUCAUACAUCUCCAAUUCGUCACUUCUUAGUUCCCAAGAUGCUGCCGAAAUGCAGAUUGUAUGUGCAUCCUUGGUAGAGUAAUGCAUACAUGGAGUGUGUUCAUUUUUUAGAAACUGAAGAUUAAUACAAAGUUAUAUGGUUUUAUUUUUUGGGUCAAAAGUUUGAUUUAUGCAGUAGACCAAUUAAUUCUCGAUACAUUUCGCGUAUUUAGCUUUUUGAUUAACUAUACAAAGUGCUCAUCUUGCUUUGGAUUCAAGUGAUCAGAUCUUGAUGAGAAGCAUGGCUGAAUGCACCUCCAACCACUAGAUUUCUGUGCCAAAAGUUUGAUUGAUGUAAUUCUCAAUGCAUCUAAGGUAUUCAACACUUCCCCAUAACUUCAUAUACUUUAUGAUGCUAAUUUUGAGUUAACAAUUGCUUAAUAUUUCACCAUGCAGAUAUAUGACAUGAACAAUUUUCUAAUAUACAUAAAAAGAUUGUGCAUGUGCUAUUUGUAGUUUUUUGUACCUGGUCUAAUUUUUUAAGGCAUAUUCUUAGGAUUACAUUCUGCUUAUUAGGCAUUGUUAAUUGUUUGAUCAUGAUGUACUCCCUCCGUCCCAUAAUAUAAGAGCGUUUUUGACACUAGUGUAGUGUCAAAAACACUCUUAUAUUUUGGGACGGAGGUAGUAGAACAUAUCAAAACAAUAGGCAAACCACAAAGGGUGAUUUGGUGGAAUAUGUAUCCUGGUUACUACAAGAAAUCACUCAAGCAUGCUCGUGCCUGCAGCCCUCAGUGGCGAGACAAAGGAUUCAGCCAUGGGAAGCAUUCUUGCCAAGUACAUAUUGUUGGAUCUUGUGGCUCCUCUGUUGCACCAUGGAAUCGGCUUGACAAGCAGCGCACGUUGAACAGCGACAAGCAUGGCUAAUGACGCAACCUAACCCUAUUGGUCAGCUCUCCGUGAACACAUAGGUUCCUAUCACAUUUAUCCAGACCAAGAGAGAACUACAUAGAGGUUUGACUGAGCGAGAUGGGGUUGACGGACAAGAAGAGGAACCAGAGGGGUGUGCUCUUGCGGUGCUUGGCUUGUUCCAAGACCAUGAGGGGAAGGACUUGCUGGUGCGUGCUAUGAAUUGUUUUUGGUAUAUCUGUCUUUGAACAGGUUUAUGUGAUUGGCAGGGAUGGAACAAUGAGAGGAUCAGUGGCGAUAUUCGAAGAGUUUAAACGGUGUGGUUUGAGGAUAUCCAUUACAGGGAUCCCAAAAAACUUGGACAACGAAAUCGACAUUAUAGACAAGGCAUUUGGGUUUCAAACCGCAGUGGAGAGUGCUCAGUAGGAAAUCGAUGCGACACAUGUGGGGUUGUGAAUAUUGUGGAUGGCAUUGGUCUUGUCAAACUUAUGGGAAGGAGCACGGGCCAUAUUACUCUUCAUGCCACCCUGAGCAGCCUGAGAUGUUGACUGUUGUUUGAAUCCUGAGAUCGAUUUUCAUGUUGAAGGGAAGGGGCAUGUUGUCGUUGUUGUUGCUCAAGCCGCUGGUCAGGAGUUGAUUCCCCAGAUUGAUGACCAGAAGCGAGAGCAGGAUGAGUAUGGCAACAUGUUGUUCCUUAGUGUUGGCCUUCUUCUAUAAAGUUUACAUACAAUUCACCUGCAUGGUUAAAAAAGCUACUAUACUAAUGUAAAUGUUCCGUUUCGUUGAAUAUUACUCAUUUCUCUUACCGUUGUUGUAUCAAAACAAUUGUGUUUUGGCCUCAUUUUAUAGGAGAUUGAGAUGUGGGACAA